UACGUAGGCAGCAAGCGUUGUUCGGAGUUACUGGGCGUAAAGGGUGCGUAGGUGGCUCUAUAAGUAUGGUGUGAAAUCUCCCGGCUUAACUGGGAGGGUGCGCCGUAGGCUGUGGGGCUAGAGUGUGGGAGAGGAAAGUGGAAUUCCUGGUGUAGCGGUGAAAUGCGUAGAGAUGUGGAGGAACACCGAUGGCGAAGGGCAGCCCCC
rnacentral:rRNA from 1 species